rnacentral:rRNA from 1 species
AGUGAACGCUGGCGGUAGGCCUAACACAUGCAAGUCGAACGGCAGCACAGUAAGAGCUUGCUCUUACGGGUGGCGAGUGGCGGACGGGUGAGGAAUACAUCGGAAUCUACUUUUUCGUGGGGGAUAACGUAGGGAAACUUACGCUAAUACCGCAUACGACCUACGGGUGAAAGCAGGGGAUCUUCGGACCUUGCGCGAUUCAAUGAGCCGAUGUCGGAUUAGCUAGUUGGCGGGGUAAAGGCCCACCAAGGCGACGAUCCGUAGCUGGUCUGAGAGGAUGAUCAGCCACACUGGAACUGAGACACGGUCCAGACUCCUACGGGAGGCAGCAGUGGGGAAUAUUGGACAAUGGGCGCAAGCCUGAUCCAGCCAUACCGCGUGGGUGAAGAAGGCCUUCGGGUUGUAAAGCCCUUUUGUUGGGAAAGAAAAGCAGCAGGUUAAGACCCCGCUGUUCUGACGGUACCCAAAGAAUAAGCACCGGCUAACUUCGU